rnacentral:rRNA from 1 species
GAUGAACGCUGGCGGCGUGCCUAAUACAUGCAAGUCGAGCGAACGGACGAGAAGCUUGCUUCUCUGAUGUUAGCGGCGGACGGGUGAGUAACACGUGGAUAACCUACCUAUAAGACUGGGAUAACUUCGGGAAACCGGAGCUAAUACCGGAUGAUAUUUUGAACCGCAUGGUUCAAAAGUGAAAGACGGUCUUGCUGUCACUGAUAGAUGGAUCCGCGCUGCAUUAGCUAGUUGGUAAGGUAACGGCUUACCAAGGCAACGAUGCAUAGCCGACCUGAGAGGGUGAUCGGCCACACUGGAAGUGAGGCACGGUCCAGACGCCUACGGGAGGCAGCAGCAGGGAAUCUUCCGCAAUGGGCGAAAGCCUGACGGAGCAACGCCGCGUGAGUGAUGAAGGUCUUCGGAUCGUAAAGCUCUGUUAUUAGGGAAGAACAUAUGUGUAAGUAACUGUGCACAUCUUGACGGUACCUAAUCAGAAAGCCACGGCUAACUACGUG